GGAAUGUUGAUUGACAGACCGGAAACAAGCCGUCUUGAGAGGAGGCAAGAUGGCAGCCCCGGCAGUGGCUGAGUUUCAAAGAGCCCAUUCUCUUCUCAGUUCAAACCGGAAUGCAUCUAUCGAUAUUUUACAUUCGAUAGUAAAGCGGGACAUCCAGGAGAGCGAUGAGGAGGCAGUGUGUGUCAAAGAGCAGAGCAUCCUGGAGCUGGGUGGUCUGCUGGCGAAGACGGGCCAGGCUGCAGAGCUGGGCGGUCUCCUGAAGUAUGUGCGGCCGUUUCUGAAUUCCAUCAGCAAGGCCAAGGCGGCGCGGCUGGUGCGCUCGCUGUUGGACCUGUUUCUGGACAUGGAGGCAGCUACAGGCCAGGAGGAGGAGCUGUGUCUGGAGUGCAUCGAGUGGGCCAUGGCUGAGAAGAGAACAUUUCUCAGACAGGCCCUGGAGGCUCGUCUCAUCUCUCUGUAUUUUGACACAAAGCGGUAUCAAGAGGCGCUUCAUCUAGGCACCCAGCUACUCCAGGAACUGAAGAAAAUGGAUGACAAGGCCCUGCUGGUGGAGGUACAGCUGCUGGAGAGUAAGACGUACCACGGCCUCAGCAACCUGCCCAAGGCCCGAGCUGCCCUCACUUCUGCACGCACCACCGCCAACGGCAUUUACUGCCCACCCAAGCUACAGGCCGCCCUGGACAUGCAGUCAGGGAUCAUCCACGCAGCAGAGGAGAAGGACUGGAAGACUGCCUACUCUUACUUCUACGAGUCCUUCGAAGGCUAUGACUCCAUCGACCAUCCCAGAGCGAUCACUGCUCUCAAAUACAUGCUGCUCUGCAAAAUCAUGCUCAACCUUCCUGAGGAGGUCCAGGGUCUCGUUAGUGGAAAGCUAGCCCUGCGGCACGCCGGGAGACAGACAGACUCUCUGAAAUGCGUGGCGCAGGCCAGCAAUAACCGGUCGCUGGAUGAUUUUGAAAAGGCCCUGACAGAGUACAGAGGUGAGUUGAGAGACGAUUCCAUCAUAAACACACACUUGACCACGCUCUAUGACAACCUGCUUGAACAGAACCUCAUCCGUGUCAUCGAGCCUUUCUCCAGGGUACAGAUAGAACACAUUUCCACCUUCAUAAAACUGUCUAAAGGAGAUGUCGAGAGGAAAUUGUCACAGAUGAUUCUUGACACAAAAUUUCACGGUAUUUUGGACCAAGGCGAGGGUGUGAUGAUCAUCUUCGAUGAGCCUGCAGUAGACACAACGUAUGAGGCGGCCCUGGAGACCAUUCAGAACAUGAGCAAAGUGGUGGACUCACUCUACAACAAAGCCAAGAAGCUCACAUAGGUCAGCCAGUCCCCUGAGCCGCUAGCAGAAUUGGAGUCCUAUAGAAUAAAUGUAUGUUGAAUAUGUGUCAUAGAGGAGACCACCUGUACCCCAGCACAGAGCUUGUCCGGCAAGUUUGUGAAGCACUCCGGGAAGGGGAGAGAGGGCGGUGUUCGGACUCAAACAACCCAGCAAGCAAAUAAACCAACCAACCAACCAACCCACAAACUGACAGGGCUAGGCUGCCCCCCCCCCAAAUGACAUUACAACUACUGGCAUCUCCAUCACAGGUUUCUAUGUUCCUCGGCAUCCCCCUCCUUCCCUCUUUGCCGACCAUCAGGGAAUCUUGUAAAAAAUGAACAAUAAAGAAACAAACGUUAUAUAUAUAUAUAUAUAUAUAUAUAUAUAUAUAACAUGUAUGAAAGAUCUCUGAAAGAGUGUAAUUGGUGGGCUUAAGGUUCAGUUCUGUUGCCAAACAACCCCUGGCCAACCCAUAUGUUUUCUUGCCUUCAUCCCCCCAACACACACAGAUGGCAAAUGGCAAUCUGGGUCUGCUGGCUUUGUGCCAGAGUGGACAGAUGAAACGGACCACUGUCCCUGCGAACACGCCACAGGAAAAGGACACAGUCAUCGCCACACCGUUUUAUAGUUCCCAGACCUGGGUUAAUAUAUUGUUUGAAAAUCGUUCAAGCACUGAGUGUUUGUUUUAUCCUGCCUGGGAAGCCAGGAGGGUGUGAUUUUCCUUUUUGGGACUUUUCUAUUUGUUCCAUUUCAACAGGUUAGCUCAACUGAGAACAUAUAAAGUACCUGAUAUGAUCUCUAAUAGUAUUUUAAUCCAGGUGUAAUGGUUUCCUUUCCCUGCCUCCAAUUCCAGUUUGUACAUAAUGUUGCCAGGUGUGUGGCUGUCAGGCCUGCCAUGCUAACACCACGUCCAUCCCUUUUUUUAUUACACUAAACGAGAAUAAAAUAAGCCCCCUGUGCUUUCUGGAGUGGUGGUGAUUGA